GUUACCUUCUCUGGCUGCUGCUGCACAAGCAUGUUUUGUAUGUAGAGCAGCCCUCUUCCUCCAAGCAUUUGAUGUCCAUUUUUGUAACUCAUAUAGCCGAGUUUAUUCUUAUAGACGGGGGAAAUAGUUCAGGAACUCACCUCCUACAACCAUCAUACAACCUGCAGAGCUGGCAGCUACAAGGGUGUGUGGGGGGAGGGGUCGUGACUCUGCAAUUGAAAGAACUGGGGGGAUUUGACCUCCACUUUUCUCUCUGAUGACAUAUUUAAAAAAAUUGCUCAUACUUUAGGACCGGCAUGAUGGAAAAUUUUAGCGGUUUUGAAACUGUGACUUUUUCAUAUCGGGGUAUACCGUGAAACCGGUAUUUGGCCUAGGCCUAGUCACAGCACCCCUUAAUUAAAACAUGUCCUCACAUCUAAGGAUAGAACUACUUCAGAACUGCUUUUGAUUCAGUACUAAAACUGAUUUGGUUUGUGACAACCCGCUCGUUUUUUUUGCUGGUUGCACUGUUUCCUUUCUCUCUCUGCCCCUCCUGCCCUCAUAUUUUGGGAUACGCCCUGGUUUUCACCGUGCUUCUCAGAGACUCACCUCAUUGGUUAUCAGAGCCAAGGUGUUUCUCUAUCAUACAGGUGGAAUGGCAGUCUUCCUCUAGCUCCGGGGAUGGUAACACCUGACGCCGUCAGUCCGUCAGACUCCCACAUUAAAGCCAUUUGGGGCUGAUCCGAGGCUGUUUCAUCCCUCGUAUUUUGCUUUCAGCACCUCUGCCUUGUUGGGUAGUUUAGAGAUCCCCAUAUUCAACUACAAAGAAAAGUUCGCUUCUGUGUAUCAGCUGUGCUGACGUGUUAACACGGAGGUUCGGAAAGCCGGUGACAUCAUUGAAAUCAAGUCUCUCAUCUAUCUGGUCCAGAUAACGAGACUUAACUGAACUGAAUCCUGGUCCUGCCUCUGUGAGAUUCUUUUUUCAUCAAACAUCUCUCUUGCUGUGGAGCGACAUGUAUGGAAGUCAAUGAGUGCCCUUCUUUUUUUUCUUCUUUUUUUCUCCUCCCUCGACUGUGAAGAAUAUUGGACUUUUUUUGUUCUCUCACUUAUAAUACAAGCCUGAAAACUAA